rnacentral:rRNA from 1 species
ACGAACGCUGGCGGCGUGCCUAACACAUGCAAGUCGAACGAGAAAGGGGCUUCGGCCCUGAGUAAAGUGGCGCACGGGUGAGUAACACGUAGGUAACCUGCCUCUAAGAUUGGGAUAACAUGUCGAAAGACGUGCUAAUACCGAAUGAGACCACAGUUUCCUCGGAAACAGGGGUCAAAGGUAGCCUCUAUUUAUAAGCUAUCACUUAGAGAUGGGCCUGCGUACCAUUAGCUAGUUGGUAGGGUAACGGCCUACCAAGGCAAAGAUGGUUAGCUGGUCUGAGAGGAUGAUCAGCCACACUGGAACUGAGACACGGUCCAGACUCCUACGGGAGGCAGCAGUGGGGAAUAUUGCGCAAUGGGCGAAAGCCUGACGCAGCAACGCCGCGUGAGUGAUGAAGGCUUUCGGGUCGUAAAGUCCUUUUUGAGGUGACGAGCAAGGACGGUAGCCUCAGAAUAAGUGUCGGCUAACUACGUGCCAGCAGCCGCGGUAAAACGUAGGACACGAGCGUUAUCCGGAGUUACUGGGCGUAAAGGGCGUUCAGGCGGGUGAUUAAGUUCGCUAUGAAAGCGCCGGGCUAAACCCGGCGAGGCUGGCGGAUACUGGUCAUCUGGAGUAAGACAGAGGGAGGUAGAAUUCCGCGUGUAGUGGUGAAAUGCGUAGAGAUGCGGAGGAAUACCAGUGGCGAAGGCGGCCUCCUGGGUCUUAACUGACGCUGAAGCGCGAAAGCACGGGGAGCGAACGGGAUUAGAAACCCCGGUAGUCCAUGCUGUAAACGAUGUGGACUAAACGUUCGCUUUCCGCGAGGGAAGUGGGUGUUGAAGCUAACGCAGUAAGUCCACCGCCUGGGGAGUACGGUCGCAAGGCUAAAACUCAAAGGAAUUGACGGGGGCCCGCACAAGCAGCGGAGCGUGUGGUUUAAUUCGAGGCUACGCGAAGAACCUUACCUGGGUUUGACAUAGCGUUGAACGAAGCUGAAAGGCGGAGGUUCCCGCAAGGGACAGCGUUACAGGUGCUGCAUGGCUGUCGUCAGCUCGUGCCGUGAGGUGUUCGGUUAAGUCCGCAAACGAGCGCAACCCCCGGGGUUAGUUACAGGUGUCUAACCCGACUGCCCGUGGCAAACGGGAGGAAGGUGGGGAUGAUGUCAAGUCAGCAUGGCCUUUAUAUCCAGGGCGACACACACGCUACAAUGGCGUAUACAAUGGGUAGCGAAGCCGCGAGGCGGAGCCAAUCCUGCAAAGUACGUCUCAGUUCGGAUUGCAGGCUGCAACCCGCCUGCAUGAAGUUGGAGUUGCUAGUAACCGCGCGUCAGCACAGUGCGGUGAAUACGUUCCC